UACGGAGGGGGCUAGCGUUAUUCGGAAUUAUUGGGCGUAAAGGGCGCGUAGGCGGCCCGGUAAGUCAAAGGUGAAAUCCCUCGGCUCAACUGAGGAACUGCCUUUGAAACUGUCGGGCUUGAGGCCGGGAGGGGGUAGCGGAAUUCCCAGUGUAGCGGUGAAAUGCGUAGAUAUUGGGAGGAACACCGGUGGCGAAGGCGGCUACCUGGACCGGUUCUGACGCUGAUGCGCGAA
rnacentral:rRNA from 1 species